rnacentral:rRNA from 1 species
AGAGCGAACGCUGGCGGCAGGCCUAACACAUGCAAGUCGAGCGCCCGUAGCAAUACGGGAGCGGCAGACGGGAUAGUAACACGUGGGAACGCGCCCUUCGGUUCGGAAUAACUCAGGGAAACUUGAGCUAAUACCGAAUACGCCCUUACGGGGAAAGAUUUAUUGCCGAAGGAACGGCCCGCGUCCGAUUAGCUAGUUGGUGAGGUAAUGGCUCACCAAGGCUACGAUCGGUAGCUGGUCUGAGAGGAUGACCAGCAUCACUGGGACUGAGACACGGCCCAGACUCCUACGGGAGGCAGCAGUGGGGAAUAUUGGACAAUGGGCGAAAGCCUGAUCCAGCCAUGCCGCGUGGAUGAUGAAGGCCUUAGGGUUGUAAAGUCCUUUUAACGGGGAAGAUAAUGACGGUACCCGUAGAAUAAGCCCGGCUAACUUCGCGCCAGCAGCCGC